rnacentral:lncRNA from 1 species
UGAUUCUCCAACCAAAUUGAAAAAGUGAAGUUUUGUAUUGCGUGAACUGAGACUGAGAUCUGGAAAAACAAGUGUGAUGAGAUCAAGUGAUUUACCCAAGACUCUGAAACAGUGACUAAAGAUUCUUGAGCACUGAGCUGGCCUGCACUUUGGCUGACUGCGGUAGCUGAUGACGUGUAAUGUGGCAGUUGCCCUCAGCAUCCCAGUGCGGGCUGCAUCUGUAGCACCACACUGCACUGUGCGCAUGCUGGGCUGGCUGGGGCGCCGCGGCAGCACAGUGCUCGGCUCUGGUCCGGAGCUCAGCCCUCUCGGCAGCACCAGUUCCUCAGCGCUCCUCAUGGCCUGGCAGCGCAUCUGCCGCAGACACCUUCUCAGAAAAGUAACAGUCCAAAAUUUGCCAUUCCAAUGAAACACUGGCUGAGAAGAACUGGAAAAGAAGUCCUGACUGGCUUUAUGCCACAAGCGCUGUACUCCAACUGACAUGCUCUCCUGGCGAACCUGGCAGCUGUUUGCUUCCUCAACCUUCCCAUCAGGAUUUUGGGCCCAAGUGGUGACUGAGGACAAGCUUUUUAAAAGCAAGUAAUGGAUUUAGUUGUUGAAGGUGAGCCACCUUGAAAACACCCGUCUUUCAGGGGCGU